UACGUAGGGGGCAAGCGUUGUCCGGAAUUAUUGGGCGUAAAGAGCUCGUAGGCGGUCUGUUGCGUCGGCUGUGAAAACCCGGGGCUCAACUCCGGGCCUGCAGCCGAUACGGGCAGACUAGAGUUCGGCAGGGGAGACUGGAAUUCCUGGUGUAGCGGUGAAAUGCGCAGAUAUCGGGAGGAACACCGGUGGCGAAGGCGGGUCUCUGGGCCGAUACUGACGCUGAGGAGCGAAAGCGUGGGGAGCGAACAGG
rnacentral:rRNA from 1 species